UCGGUCUGGGUGGGAUGCUAUUUGGAAGGUCAGUGUGGACAUGAUGGGCCAACUGGCCUGCUUCCACACUGUAGGGAAUUCUAUGAUCCUAUGACUGUGGAAAUUUAGAGCAAUGGACUGGGGAGAGACCUCAACCAAAUGCGAGGAUUUUGAACGAAGUGCAUUUCAAGGCAGUGAGGUGGGAGUGGGGGCUGGGCCACGGCUGCAAUUUGGGGCACGUUUGAGUCACAGAGUUUGCCCGUUCUCCCCUUCGUCUGCGUGGGUUUCCUCCGGGUGCUCCGGUUUCCUCCCACAGUCCAAAGAUGUGCAGGUUAGGGUGGAUUGGCCAUGGGAAACUGGGGUGGGGGAGUAGGGUAGAUGCUGUUCGGAGGUCAGUGCAGACUAGACGGGAUGAAUGGCCUUCUUCCGCACUGUUGGGAGUCUGCAACUUGUGAAUGUGGGUGAUGUCGAACUUGAUACAUGCCUCCUCCUGACCCAGCCGUGUUCCCCUCCCCCCUGCGUUUCAGUUCAGCAUCUCCUUUAAUGACGGUGAGCUGGAGUCCACCUUCGAGUACCCGUCCGAACUGGCACUGCUGUCUGAGCUCGGCCUGGAGCGGGAGGACAGCGAGGAGGCGGUGACCGCAGUCAAGCCCCGGGCCCGAGAUCCCGCCGAGGACGAGGACGAGGAGGAGGUGGAGGAGGGGUCCCUGGCGCGGCGCCUCGGCGUCGACAAAACGUCGUCAGUGGGCACGGCCCUCCACAGGAGACGGCUGCUCGUCGAUGAAAAUUGUCGGCGAUGACCCCGACCUGCCCAGGACACAAUGGCGUCAGAGCUGCCACCGAAUUCUGCUUUUCGUUUUUACCCUUCGCUCUUGUAAGCCGCCCAGGACGCAUCGUGACAGGAAAAGAACAAUCGAAUACGUCCUGCAGCGUUUCGUUUGAUGGAACUGGCGACAGAUGGCUCUCUCUCUUUUGUUUUUUUUGGAUGAACCACUGGGCCACCAUCGGUCCGUGUUUACCAGUUGUCUCUCAGGAUUAAACCCAAGGCCAGCUGACCCCAACCUCCCCUCCCCGCAAGUCGCGAGGGGGAACAGGCCUCAGGCGAUGGAGUAUGUUGAUGCAUGAAGGAAUUUUCAUGAGCUCGGAACAAAAAUAGGUGCUGAUAAGGGAUUCACCCGCAUUCUUGGCUUUUUAAUAGCUCAGUGCGCAGGAUUUCCUGCGUUUCUUCAAGAACCCAGGCCUCCAGAGGAGCCCAGUUGCUAUUAGUAACAUCUGUGUUCUGUGUGUGUGCAUGCGUGUGUGUGUGUGUGUGUGUGUGUCAGUGAGGGGUUGGAAUUCCAAAAAUAUUCCUAAUGUACCCCAUGUGUAAGUGGAGGCAGCCCUGUGAAGCUAAUCGCGACAAGCCAUUUGUUUGAAGGUGUUACAAGUAUAUUCCAAUUCCUGGGUAUCAGGGAAAGGGAUGCCUUUACCAGGCACUUAAUCAUACAGGGAUGGGAAUAAGGGGCAAACUUCCAAAAUAGCUGGAGCGGACGGGUAAGACUGUGGAGGUUUCAGGCUCUGGAAAUGACGGGAGCAAGUUGAGGACAAAUUGAGAGGGUGCGUUGGAAAGUUCUGUUCGGCAUUCCGAGUAUGCCGUGCGAAAAGAGGUUGGCGUCCAGUCCUAAGUCCCACCGGCAAUCAUCACUGGCUGACCAUUUCUCUCUAAGCCACACGUCAUCCUGACGAGGGAUUGCACCACUGUUCCUUCAAUGUCGAUAGGUCAAAAUCCGGGAACACCACCUCGCUCCCAAUAGCAACACUGUGCGUCUACCGAUAGCACGUGGAUUGCAGCGGUUCAAGAAGGCAGCUCACCACCACCUUCUCAAGAGGCAACAAGGGACGGGAAUAAAUGCUGGGCCCAGCCAGUGACUCUCACAUCCCACAAGUUGACUUUUUUUAAAAAAUUAAGCCAGUUUGAACACCAACUCUGCUCUGUAGUUGUGGGCAUCUCCAGGUGAACAUCCACAAAGGUUUAGUGUAUGACACUGGGUGGCACAGUGGCUCAGUGGUUAGCACCGCUGCCUCACAGCGCCAAGGACCCGGGUUUGAUACCUCCCUCAGGCAACUGUCUGUGUGGAGUUUGCACGUUCUCCCCCGUGUCAGAGUGGGUUUCCUCCCACAGUCACAAAGAUGUGCAGGUUAGGGUGGAUUGGUCAUGCUAAAUUGGCCGUAGUGUCCAAGCUGGGUGGAUUAAUGAUGGGUAAUGCAGGGACAGGAUGGGAUGCUCUUUGGCAGGUCGGUGUGGACUCGAUAGGCUGAAUGGCCCGCACUGUAAGGAUUCUCUGUCACAGUCAUGUGGCUGACCGUAGGGUUUGAUGAAGUUGAAGCUUUGUCUUCUCUGUGGCUAUAUAGAUUUUCUAAUUUCACCUUCCCACAUACUCCUAACCAAACCCCCAUCCCUCUCCUUUGGCUGCAUCAUUGUACCGCACAGGAGAAGACGAGAUUUGAAAAAGCAUGGGAAGGAGGAGGAGGAGGAGGACGAGGACGAGGCUCUGAAUUCAGCGGGUGAUGACAGUCAGUAUCCUCAGGAAGAAUGCUCCCUGUCAGCACAAUGAGAACGGCAAUUGUUUUAGCUACCGUCAUGCACAGGAGUCUUCCUACAGUCCUGAAAUCCUUGCUCAGUCUCUGAAUUCUCCUCGAGUUCACUCAAUUUAGCUUGAAGCUACAGGCUUCUCUCAACCGUCAUACAAUUCUUCAUAAUUUAUCUUGAAAUCACAGGAUUCUCCCUGCAAUCAUGGAAUUCGCCCGAAAACCACGGAAUUCACUCUGAAAUCACAGAUUCUCCUUGCAAUCAUGAGAUUCACCCUAAAAACGUGGAAUUCACUCUGAAAUCACAGAUUCUCCCCCACAAUCAUGGAAUUCACCAACCCCCCCGCCAAAUUACUAGAUUCUCCAAGCAAUCACAAAGACCUUCCUGAAAUCAUGGAAUUCUCGCAACCACCCCUCCCAAAAACAUUUCUCGAUUCUUCCCGCGAUUGUAGAAUUCUCCCUGUAUUCCGCAGAGUUCGGCGCAAAGUUUCUAGGUUCGCCCUGCCAGGAUUCUCCGCACAAUUCCGCGAUCGUCAGCUAAAAUUCUCGCAGCAAUCUCCGAUUGGUGUUGAAAUCACUUGAUCUUACCUUUGUCUCUGGCCCCAAGUCAGCCUUUUAAAUCCGUUUUGCAGUCAUCUGGAAAGCACCCUGGUAUUUCCUCCAGCUCCCAUCCCUGUACUUCUCCUAGGCGAUGAAGCAGCGAUACUGGUUUGUGGUUAGUUGUAGUCACUGUGUCGUUCGAUUUGCACUUGUAUUUACGUUCCACUGCUCCGGUUUCAGCUGCAGAAUUCCUUCCUCCAGCUCCAGGAGCAACGCUCCUGCAGCUCGACAUUGGACAGCAUCGCUGGCUGAUGUUAUUUUUGUAUUGAAGCCAAAUUCUGAUGGGCUUAACAAGCUGUUGUGUUCUUUUUUCUAAAAAAAAAGACUGGUUGAGGGCCUUGUUCGGCUCCCGCAAGCACACAGGCUUUUGUACAAUCUUACGUUUUUUUUAAAUUCAGAUUUUCUUUUGUAUUAAUUCUCUAUAAACGGUUUAACAUUGCACGUCGGCACCUGACCUCUUCCGUUUUGUACCGUCCAGACUGUAUGCAUGCCUCCAACCACAAUAAAGUUUUGUAACUGGCA